GGGUUCUUCUUCCGCAAAUUCUAAACAACAAGAUCUAAUCAACAACUUUUUGGCUGCCAAUCCGGCUUUAAAAAAUAAAAGAGAAUCCGUAAAGGCAAGACUUCACCGACUGGAUAACAAGAAAUAUCCUGUAAAGACCCUAAAAAGGCGCAAAGAAACUUUUAAACCUAAAGUAUUUACCUAUGUUAUCUCCUUUUCUGCGCUACAUAUUCUAGGCAAACCUUGGUUAUCAAAAGAGGACAUUCUGUGAAAUAAUGAAAUACAUGAAACACCCUCAAAAGCAACUACUUAAAAAAUAACAUCAAGUCAUAAAAUAGUAACCGGUGGUAAUACUAGUAGUAGUAUAAAAAAAUAAAAAUAAUAAUAAGAUAUUAGUAAUGAUAGCUGGAAUAGUAGAUGUUAUAAACGUAAAAUUCCAUUCACCAACCCAAUGCUAGACAACAACCGUCUACCCAACCAGAAUUGGGUAAAAUGGAAACAAGACACAACCUCUGAAGAAAUAGUCAAAAAACGUGCAACCCCGGAAGGGCCACUGACGCGUAAAGUAAAAAUUCUCCCUAUCGUUCUCGUUAACAAGAAAAUGUGGCCUACGCUAGUGGAAACGCUGUACGCAUAGAGUGCAAAUGUCCCUUCUACCCGUGGUCACCGCGACGGCAUCCGCCUGUUGCCGUCAACUGUCGAGCAGAAUAGUAGCACUACUGGGAGCGCUCUUGGCAACACCACUGCUACCAGUUACUCGAGGGCCAUUCUUCGAGGUCUUUGCACCGAUCUACCUAUAGUCGACAUUUAAACGGCGUUACGUGCUUAGGGAUUUUCACCCCUCCGCUUCACGACUUCACCCAACCGACGAGAACCGCAUUAAGCGACUACUACCGACAGAUAAGCGUUUAACCACCUCGUAAGAGUGGUCGCAUGAAACAAUGUUAUCGCUGUCAGCGCUUCUACCACAGCGCACAGAACUGCGCCAUCACUGCACGCUGCUUCAAGUGUGGGGAAAAACACUAACGAUACAAUAUGAGGGAGUUGCCGGUCAAAUGCGCUAAUUUUGGCGAGGCACGCGAAGCGAAUUACCGAAGGUGUGUCAAAGAUUCUCGAAAAAUCGUUUCUCCGCCGUCGACAUGUCAACGACCCACGGAGACGCAGUCAUUAACGACCAGGACCACCUCAUGCAUCGCAACCCGCUCAAUGACAAAGACCUCUUGCUCCAAAUCCCAUCGGCGAGAUACUGGCACCACUAGCAGCUGCUCUUGAAACAUUUCUUCGAGCAUUAGCAAUCUGAUGACACGCAAAUGGUUUCUAGGACCCGUUCAUUAUGCCACCUGAAACUCUUACAGUGGAAUGCCAAGGGUGUGCACUGUAAAAAGGACGAACUGCUACAGCUUGUUGCAGAGUGGAGAUGCGACUGUCGCGUUGUUAAGCGGGACGCACUUGAGAGCGGGGCCAUCGGCUUGUACUUUGCAACUACACAACGUGCCGCCUUGACCGUCUUUGCAGAUGCGACGGUGAAGUAUCUAUUCUGGUCGGCGAAAAUCUACCGCACCACCCGAUUGCAAUCUCAAACCUAAAGGGCGUGGAGACCGUGGGGAUAUGUCUCAGCUGGUUACCACGAAACCGACAGACGUGAUAUCUGUCUAUAAACCUUCCGACAUGGCUCUGCUUACAAGUGAUCAGGACAAGCCUUACAACGGCGCUCGCCCGUCGUUCUUUGUAGUGACUUUAACUGCAAACACACUGCUUGAAACAGUCGACUUGAAAAUUCAAACGGAAAAAUUCUUGAGAAAUAUGAGGACCAAAACAAAUUCGCGUGAUGGUAUACCUCAACAUCCCACUCACAUGACUGAGUCGGGCAAUUCAGACGUCCUCGACAAAACCAUUUUAAAAGAUAUACACUAGUAGGUAUCAAUCGCAGAGUUGCAUGAGCUCUCAUUGGCCCACCUGCCUUCUUAUAGGACCUAAGAGAAAGGCAAAGCUACAGCGAAACUAGGGGACACGGUUAUUCACGGACUGGAAAAAAUUUACAGCUGCCUUUAAAGCAAAGCUAACCGACCCCCUCCCUAUAGAGGAGACAGGUGUCCAUGCUCCGCGAAGUCGUAUAUCGCCCUGGCCCUCUCUAGAUUAUUUGGUGAGCCUUAUUCGUGAACGACGCCGGUUAAUACUCCUGCCCGCUUCUACACAAAACCCCCAAGACAAACUAAUUCUAAACCGUCUUCAGUGAUGCAUAAGGAAGGAGCUGGUGCCUUUCACAAUAAUCUCUGAAAGCCAAAAAAAAACGACGUGCCUGUAUCGGCCGAAGAAAAACGAUCAUUUUUUUUGGCGCCUCGUAAAACAUAUCAAAAAACCGUUAGCACACAACAUACCCACCACUUAUUUAUGGCGUGAUAGCGGCGGAAAGCGACCAAGACAAGGCGACGCACUUUUUCGACAUCUAGCUGAUUGCGGAUCUCUAAUUUAGAUAACUUUUGAGAACGAAAGCAAAACACCGCAGGAUCUCCGAUCUUUUUAACGGAGUUAUCAAAUAGAGCACACCUAAGAAAACACUGAUAUAGUUUCUGCAUUUUCCCGAAGGAAAGCACCCAGCCCUAACGGUAUCUCUGUUUUGCAACUUCUGCAACGUCGCCUGGGUCCUACCCAACGCGAUGGAAAACGACCGCUGUCGUGAUGCUACCUAAGACCCCGCGGGCCUCAAUGGAUCUCAGCAAAUAUCGCCCCUUUAAGUGGGCAAAACCGUUGAGGCAGUUUUACUACACAGACUGGGAGAGUUUGUAAAACAUACAAGGCGCUUCCAGAAUUUCAAUUCAGGUUCCAAAAAGACCACCCGACGGCACAACAACUUUUGCAGUUUAUUGAAUGGCCGACUCGGAACUUCAAUUUUAAGAAAUCCACGGGGGCCGUCUUUCUCGACUUUGAAAAGGCCUUGAAACGCAAAUGCCACGAGAUUCUCCUUCGCAAACUACGCACAUUAGGUAUCCCCUUAGCCCUCAACGCAUACGUGCGUCGUUUUUAUGCGGCGCACGUUUUGACUUAGAGUUGGGGGUGCUGUCGCCUACCAUCGGCUGACAUCUAAUGUUCCGCAAGGCUCUCUACUCUUACCCCCCUCUUCGCGCUAUACCUGCGAGACAGUUCACUCUCUGCGAAACCCUCACACCCGCUUUCCACGCUAUGCCGGUGACACUGCAAAGUACGCCACCUCAAAGAGUCCCUCAUUAUUACGGCAAGGCAACACCUACAGUGUUAUUUGGAAACAUUCGCUAACUGGUAUCGUCAGUGGGAAGUAACCGUUAAUUAUAUGAAGAGCAAAGCGAUUCUCAUUUAAAGAAGUUGCAUAAUGCUACCCCCGCCUUUUACUUCUGGAAGAUAGGGCUCUCAGGCCAAAAACUUGGGCGCCGUCAUCGAUAAGAAUAACUUGGCGGUCACACGUAGCGUUCGUCACGACUAAGGUCAAAAGCAGCCAAUUAACGCACACCACCCACUGCUGUGUGCUAAAAGCACAACGUCCCUGCGCAAUAAACUGCGCCUUUAUAAAGUAUGCGUGCGCCAUAUUAUGACUAUGCAUCUGUUGCUUGGACAUAAGAAAAACGUCGACGAGUGCACCCCCUAGUCUAAGCAAAAUUAAAAGCCCUUGGGAUUAAUGACCGAUACCUUAUUUCGUGCGGAACGAAAAGUUGCACGGCGACCUAGGCAUCCCAAACCACCACUAAAUUCAAGAACUUAUAUACGGACCCUGGGAAGGCUCACGCUUUCGAAGGCCCUGCGCACAAUUACAGUUUUUUUACACCUUUUUUUUUUAACAAAUAUGUAGAAACGUUUAUUGCGUGAUAACCUACCAAAAUUCAUUAUGGUCUAAGCCUAAUAAUAUAUACUAUUUGCGAGAUCAAGCAGUCUGCGCGCCGAUAUUACCGAGUACCGCAUAACAUUAAAAAAAAUAUAAGAAUGUAUGUAUAUAGUGUAAUAAAUCAAAAGCCCUGUAGACAAAAAGUGGUUUCAUUACCUUAUUAGACUUUUAAACUAUUUAAUAAGUUCCAGCAGCUAGGAAGGAGCUUCAUUAAACG